CCCUUAGAGUUUGAUCCUGGCUCAGAUUGAACGCUGGCGGCAUGCCUUACACAUGCAAGUCGAACGGCAGCACGGGAGCAAUCCUGGUGGCGAGUGGCGAACGGGUGAGUAAUACAUCGGAACGUGCCCAGUAGUGGGGGAUAGCCCGGCGAAAGCCGGAUUAAUACCGCAUACGACCUACGGGUGAAAGCGGGGGAUCGCAAGACCUCGCGCUAUUGGAGCGGCCGAUGUCAGAUUAGCUAGUUGGUAGGGUAAAAGCCUACCAAGGCGACGAUCUGUAGCUGGUCUGAGAGGACGACCAGCCACACUGGGACUGAGACACGGCCCAGACUCCUACGGGAGGCAGCAGUGGGGAAUUUUGGACAAUGGGCGCAAGCCUGAUCCAGCCAUGCCGCGUGCGGGAAGAAGGCCUUCGGGUUGUAAACCGCUUUUGUCAGGGAAGAAACGCUUUGGGCUAAUACCCCGGAGUAAUGACGGUACCUGAAGAAUAAGCACCGGCUAACUACGUGCCAGCAGCCGCGGUAAUACGUAGGGUGCAAGCGUUAAUCGGAAUUACUGGGCGUAGAGCGUGCGCAGGCGGCUUUGCAAGACAGAUGUGAAAUCCCCGGGCUCAACCUGGGAACUGCAUUUGUGACUGCAUGGCUAGAGUGCG
rnacentral:rRNA from 1 species